GAACGCACCUUGCGCUCCUUGGCAUUCCGAGGAGCAUGCCUGUUUGAGUGUCGUUGAAUUCUCAGAACCCUCCUCACAGGUGGGUUUGGAUUGGUGGAGGAUGCAUUGGACUUUGCUUUGCUUCUCUGAAAUGGAUUGGCCUUACGGCUGCGAUUCACGAACCUAGUCGUCGGUAUGAUAAUGUCUUACCUGCUUCUAACCCGUGCCAGCCCGGCCCAGACGAGACGAUCGUCUCUAUCUAUCUACAAUUUGACCUCAAAUCAGGCAGGACUACCCGCUGAACUUAAG
rnacentral:misc_RNA from 1 species